rnacentral:rRNA from 1 species
GCGUUGUCCGGAUUUAUUGGGUUUAAAGGGUGCGUAGGCGGCCAUUUAAGUCUGGGGUGAAAGCCCGUUGCUCAACAACGGAACUGCCCUGGAAACUGGAUGGCUUGAGUACAGACGAGGGUGGCGGAAUGAAUGCUGUAGCGGUGAAAUGCAUAGAUAGCAUCCAGAACCACGAUUGCGAAGGCAGCUGCCUAGACUGUAACUGACGCUGAGGCACGAAAGCGUG